GACGAAUUCUGCAGCAAUCAAGGAUUUUAUAUUUGCUAAUCAGAGAAUUAAGGGAGAUUCUUUCCUUUAAAUUCGUCAUUUAAAUUCUGUUAUUCCCUACCAUAUCUAUCUAAUUUUAUUUCCCUUGCAGAACCCUAAUUGCGCGCACCAGGAAAGGGAGGAAAAUCAUGGAUUUUAAAUCAGAGGCUUGAUUGAUAGCAGAAGAGGAUAAGUUCUUAAUCACAGGGAAUUCCAUUGGAGAACAAGUUGUGUACCUGGUCCAUAUUCAAGCCUUAUGGAAUGGAUUACUGCACAAGACAAUCCAGAGAAUUCUGGGAAAGUCUAAAUCAGAUUUAAAUCAAUAAUUCUACACUGUUGGAUCACAAAUCAAUCAAGGGCUAGGAGGAUAGCUAGGGUUUCGCCAAGACACUAUAUAAAGGAGCAGAGAGAAACGUUUCUUCAUCUCUUCUUCGCACAGUAAUCGGCAUUUUCGCACGAUCUUACGAGAUUGCGAACAUAUCAACGUUCUCGGAAUCUGCCGAAACCAAAUUCUUGGCUCCUUUUGGGACCUCCAUACACCCACAACAUUGAUCUUUCAACUUUUUUUGAGAAAAUUUGACGUGUUAUUUUUUCGCACGAUCUUAGAGAUUGCGAACAUAUCAACGUUCUCGGAAUCUGCCGAUACCAAAUUCUUGGCUCUUUUUGGGACCUCCAUACACCCACAACAUUGAUCUUUCAACUUUUUUUGAGAAAAUUUGAGGUGUUAUUUUGGCAUUUUCGCACGAUCUUACGAGAUUGCGAACAUAUCAACGUUCUCGGAAUCUGCCGAAACCAAAUUCUUGGCUCUUUGUGGGACCUCCAUACACCCACAACAUUGAUCUUUCAACUUUUUUUGAGAAAAUUUGAGGUGUUAUUUUGGCAUUUUCGCACGAUCUUACGAGAUUGCGAACAUAUCAACGUUCUCGGAAUCUGCCGAAACCAAAUUCUUGGCUCUUUUUGGGACCUCCAUACACCCACAACAUUGAUCUUUCAACUUUUUUUGAGAAAAUUUGACGUGUUAUUUUGGCAUUUUCGCACGAUCUUACGAGAUUACGAUCAUAUCAACGUUCUCGGAAUCUGCCGAAACCAAAUUCUUGGCUCUUUUUGGGACCUCCAUACACCCACAACAAUGAUCUUUCAACUUUUUUUGAGAAAAUUAGACGUGUUAUUUUUUCGCACGAUCUUACGAGAUUGCGAACAUAUCAACGUUCUCGGAAUCUGCCGAAACCAAAUUCUUGGCUCUUUUUGGGUACCUCCAUACACCCACAACAUUGAUCUUUCAACUUUUUUUG
rnacentral:lncRNA from 1 species